UAGUCCAUCUGUUCUUUAUGCAUUAGCAUGGCAAAGUGUUGUGGAUUGUAAACUACCAAAACCAAGCUAACAUCAAGUAGAGAAGAGACAUUUCCAGGAGAAGCACUUGCAGAACUACUUUCUAGCCUUCGUGUCAUUACUUAGAUUGUAAUAGAACUUCAUUACAUGUCAAAAGCACAGUGCUGAGUCUUUUCAUCAUCUGUUCAUCUACUCCUUCAAAACUUGGAAACUAAACAUGAGUAGUUCAGAAAAGUGAGUAGCCUUUCAAAAGAGGACGGAAGCAGAUUCUCUUAUCUGGAAUGAUAGACCUUCAAACAGAAAGGCAAUUUCUAUUUUUUAAGCAAACAUUUAGCUGAAUGGAAUGUACAAAGAUUGUUUAAAAGGAAUACAAUGGUAUAAUGGUUAAAAGCUAACAGUUGAGAAGCUAGAUGUAUCUUCACUGAAACUGGUACACUUUUAGUGAAUCCCCAGUUUAUAAUGAGAUAAUUCCAGCCUUUCCAAUAGUUUAAUUAAGGAUUAUCAAACAUAUAUCCUUGCAUAGCCUUUCACUUGCUCAAGGAACAUCUACUAUUCUAUCAACUUGCUGUUUCCAUAAAGGAAAUCUCUUCUUGACAGUGGUGCCCUGAUUUUGGAAUGUUCUACCUAAGUAUUCAGUUUGAUAUUAGAAAUUGGAAGAUAUUGGAAGGCUACUCCAAAAAAAUAUUAAUUGACAUCAAAGAUGCCCUCAAAAGUGGAAGGAGAGAUGGAAAGCAGAGCCAAUCCAUGAAUUCUUCUGGAAGACUUAGCCUAAUUUCUCUCUACCUGUUCAGAAACUGCUUGCAUUCAACCUUUUGUAUUAUACUUUUAAGAACUGGUAUCCAAAUCUAUCUGUUUUUCCAUUGCCCCCAUCCCUUGUUAAAUCUUUUGAAAAUAAAGACCAAAAAAUAGA